rnacentral:rRNA from 1 species
UACGAAGGGUGCAAGCGUUACUCGGAAUUACUGGGCGUAAAGCGUGCGUAGGUGGUUCGUUAAGUCUGAUGUGAAAGCCCUGGGCUCAACCUGGGAAUGGCAUUGGAUACUGGCGGACUGGAGUGCGGUAGAGGAUGGCGGAAUUCCCGGUGUAGCAGUGAAAUGCGUAGAGAUCGGGAGGAACAUCUGUGGCGAAGGCGGCCAUCUGGACCAGCACUGACACUGAGGCACGAAAGCGUGGGGAGCAAACAGG